GUUAAAAUUUAGUCUGAUAAUUACAGGCGCACGUACCAUGUUGAUGUCAAAUAUAUAGCACAUAAUAUAUAUUUUAAUAAGAUAUUUGGGAAAAAUAAUUAACGACUGUAUACUAGUAAAAAACGUAUGUGUUAUCAUCUUGGGAUAAAACUGUGAUAUACAUGUAUAUGACUACAUUCUAUUAUAAUGUUAUCACUGUUAUAAAGAAUGUUUCACAGUAAGUUAUGGGAAGUUACAUGAAGCCAUGGUCUUCUGAAAUUAUCUAUAUUUUUUCCUCGUGUUUUAAAGAACGAUUUUCAAUAAAAGCAUUGUUUUGUUGUGU
rnacentral:misc_RNA from 1 species